GGAGUCUAGCAUGUGCGCGAGUCAUUGGGACACGCUAAGCCCAGAGGCGCAAUGAAAGUGAAGGUCCGCCUCGCGCGGACCGAGGGAGGAUGGGCCGUCCCGCGGGACGGCCCCGCACUCCCGGGGCGUCUCGCUCUCAUCGCGAGAAGAGGCGCACCCAGAGCGUACACGCUGGGACCCGAAAGAUGGUGAACUAUGCCUGGUCAGGACGAAGUCAGGGGAAACCCUGAUGGAGGUCCGUAGCGAUUCUGACGUGCAAAUCGAUCGUCGGAACUGGGUAUAGCGGCGAAAGACCAAUCGAACCAUCUAGUAGCUGGUUCCCUCCGAAGUUUCCCUCAGGAUAGCUGGCGCUCGCCGUGUGCGAGUCUCAUCCGGUAAAGCGAAUGAUUAGAGGCAUUGGGGUCGAAACGGCCUCAACCUAUUCUCAAACUUUAAAUGGGUGAGAUCUCCGGCUUGCUUGAAUAGUGAAGCCGCGAGAUUUCGGAUCAGAGUGCCAAGUGGGCCACUUUUGGUAAGCAGAACUGGCGCUGUGGGAUGAACCAAACGCAGAGUUAAAGCGCCUAAAUCGACGCUUAUGGGAUACCAUGAAAGGCGUUGGUAACUUAAGACAGCAGGACGGUGGCCAU
rnacentral:rRNA from 1 species